rnacentral:lncRNA from 1 species
UGUCAGCAGAAUUGUGAGAGUAAUAGAUACCUCCAAGGUGAUCUCCAAGUUCUUCCUCAGUCUUGAGGUUUGGGAUUCCCGGUUUUUGUCAGUAGAAUUGUGAGAGUAAUACAUACCUCCACGGUGAUUUCAGAGUUCUUCCUCAGUCCUGAGGUUUGGGAUUCCCGGUUUGUGUCAGUAGAAUUGCGAGAGUAGAGGCCCACUUCAGAUCAACGAGUGGAUCCUGUCUCAACCUAAGCUCUAAGGUUGCUUGUGCUGUUAGGGUCACAGCUACAGGCCCAGGAACCCUCUGGAAGAGGAGGUGGAAAAAGUGUAAGAGCCAAUUGGAACGGAAGACAGCAAGGAAACACGGCCUUCUAGACCCAAGAUGACCAAUGUACCUAUGAACUCACAGAGCCUGGGGCAGCAUGCACUGGACCUGCAGAGGUCUAAGCCAGAUGUGCUCUCAGCACUCA